rnacentral:rRNA from 1 species
CACGUAGGGCGCAAGCGUUGUCCGGAAUUAUUGGGCGUAAAGAGCUCGUAGGCGGUCUGUUGCGUCCGCUGUGAAAACUCGGGGCUUAACCCCGAGCCUGCAGUGGAUACGGGCAGACUAGAGGUAGGUAGGGGAGAAUGGAAUUCCCGGUGUAGCGGUGAAAUGCGCAGAUAUCGGGAGGAACACCAGUGGCGAAGGCGGCUCACUGGACCGGUACUGACGCUGAUGCGCGAAAGCGUGGGGAGCAAACGGGG